rnacentral:tRNA from 1 species
GGCCCCAUGGUGUAAAUGGUUAGCACUCUGGAUUUUGAUUCCAGCGAUCGGAGUUCAAAUCUCGGUGGGACCU